UCCCGAGAACUGCCCAGGUCUCUUUGCUUUGGUUUCUUUUAGAGAAAUAAACUGUUUGGGCACAGUAAUCUUACUUAAGGAAAAAAGUUAUUUGGGCCAUAAAUGUCCUGAUUAUAAUGUAGGGAAAAGAAUCUCCCACCUUUUUCACACUUAGGAUAAAGAUUCACAACGGCUGGUGCUGACGGGCAUCGGGGUGGAGGGGGGAUGGAACUGAAUUCAGAUAUCAAAAUUGAGAUAUCAUUUCUAUGACUUCAAUGACGCUCCUUACAUCUGAUAACCUUGUGAGAGGAAUUGUAGGAGCUUAGUGGUUUUGUAAAAGUUUUAAAAUCAGGUGACAGAGGGAAAUCAGUGAGUUUCCCACCAUCCCUCUGCCUCACAUAUUUAAAUAUUUUAGUAUUUUUUUCCCAGUUUCUUAAGGUUGGGGAAUCUUUCGGAGGUUGCAGUUUUACUCCUCCUUUCUCAUCUCCCCAUUUUGGAUUUGGACAGUAGUUUAGGACCGCAUCUGCAAAAAAACAACCUUUCUCCCGGUACCCGGGACAUCCGAGUUGCUCGUGCAGCUCAGAUAAAUGUGCGUCUCAUUGCAUGGGGCUGUCUAAACAGGCCGGGGCGCUGACAGACUGCAGAAUCUUCCCCUCUCCUCCUGGAGACCUGGGCACAGGACCCAGUGGGAAAAUGGACCCGAGAACCUUGUCCAUCUAGCAGCCGUGCCAGAAGCACCAACUGAAUCUGAAAACCACAGAUUCAAUUAACUAAUCCCGCUCCUAGAAGUGCCAGAAAGAAAUAAUCUUGUCACUCCCCCUUUGCCAGGAGUCCUCAUCCAACGCUCAAUAUGCUUUCGAUUUUCCUAGAGCCUUCAAAAAAAGACAUGUUAUUGCAAGGCCACUCCCUGUUUUCCACAUUCUUGACAGAGCAGCCCCAAGUUCGCUGAGGAGGUGGCAGUGGAAGAGGAGCUGGAAAACAGCCUCGGGUGCUUGGGUUCCGAAGCCCAGACAGAGUCUAAUCCAGAAGGAACCACUGGCCUCUGGAAUCGCAACUUAACCCCUUCAUAGCUUAAAGACAGACAAGAUCAGAAAGGCAGGCCUCUGGAAAGAAAUGAAGAUCACCUGAAAGUGUAAAUAAGUGAAUAAACAUGAAAGACAAUUUUUAUCA
rnacentral:lncRNA from 1 species